CACAACCUCGCCCUGACUGCAGUUCAGAACGGGUGAAUCAGAAUCUCUGCAGGCACGGUCCAAGCGCUGGAACUUUAAAAAGCUCCCCGGGUGACUCUAGUGUGUAGCCUGGAUUGAGAACCACUGAACUAAAUUGUUUACGUGAUAAGGCAGGAUGGAAGUGUGCAUGCUUGAGUAGAAAGCAAGUGGCACCAAGAGGAGCUAAACAUGCCGGAGAGGAAGAGCAUAGGUGUGAGCCCACAGACUGAGAAAAAUGAACAUCUUUUAGGUCUGGGGAGACUCUGCUUCUGGCUGUGGGUGACGGACGUGCCUUGCCUCUGGGCUGUUCCAUGCAUCUCAUUCCAGGCUGACAGGCAGCAGCAACUCAGGGCAUAUUCUUCUCCUGGCUACAGCAAGUGAGCAGGGAAUGGC
rnacentral:lncRNA from 1 species